CAAGAAGUUACGAAAGGCUCCUAAACCCUUGACCGACCUUACUCAAGUUGCUUCGGCGGGGAGCUCCCCUCACCGGGGACCGUAGCCCCGCCUAUCAGGAGGUAAGGGCAGCCGCCGGAGGUACCUUAAACUCUUGCUAUUAUAGUGGCCUCUCUGAGUAUUAUAUAAAAUAAGUCA
rnacentral:misc_RNA from 1 species